AGCGAACGCUGGCGGCAGGCCUAACACAUGCAAGUCGAACGAACCCUUCGGGGUUAGUGGCGGACGGGUGAGUAACACGUGGGAACGUGCCUUUAGGUUCGGAAUAACUCAGGGAAACUUGUGCUAAUACCGAAGGUGUCGCUCGGGGGAAAGAUCUAUCGCCUUUAGAGCGGCCCGCGUCUGAUUAGCUAGUUGGUGAGGUAAUGGCUUACCAAGGGUACGAUCAGUAGCUGGUCUGGGAGGAUGACCAGCCACAUUGGGACUGAGACACGGCCCAAACUCCUACGGGAGGCAGCAGUGGGGAAUCUUGCGCAAUGGGCGAAAGCCUGACGCAGCCAUGCCGCGUGGAUGAUGAAGGUCUUAGGAUUGUAAAAUCCUUUCACCGGUGAAGAUUAUGACUGUAGCAGGAGAAGAAGCCCCGGCUAACUUCGUGCCAGCAGCCGCCGUAAGAC
rnacentral:rRNA from 1 species